AGUGAACGCUGGCGGUAGGCCUAACACAUGCAAGUCGAACGGCAGCACAGUAAGAGCUUGCUCUUACGGGUGGCGAGUGGCGGACGGGUGAGGAAUACAUCGGAAUCUACUUUUUCGUGGGGGAUAACGUAGGGAAACUUACGCUAAUACCGCAUACGACCUACGGGUGAAAGCAGGGGAUCUUCGGACCUUGCGCGAUUGAAUGAGCCGAUGUCGGAUUAGCUAGUUGGCGGUGUAAAGGCCCACCAAGGCGACGAUCCGUAGCUGGUCUGAGAGGAUGAUCAGCCACACUGGAACUGGGACACGGUCCAGACUCCUACGGGAGGCAGCAGUGGGGAAUAUUGGACAAUGGGCGCAAGCCUGAUCCAGCCAUACCGCGUGGGUGAAGAAGGCCUUCGGGUUGUAAAGCCCUUUUGUUGGGAAAGAAAAGCAGCAGGUUAAUACCCCGCUGUUCUGACGGUACCCAAAGAAUAAGCACCGGCUAACUUCGUG
rnacentral:rRNA from 1 species